CCUAGGGGAGGCAGCAGUAGGGAAUAUUAGGCAAUGGAGGAAACUCUGACCCAGCGACGCCGCGUGAGGGAUGGAGGCCUUCGGGUUGUCUACCUCCUUUCGCAAGGGAAGAAACGAUACAGUCUAAUAAACUGUGUUAAUGACGGUACCUAAAGAAGAAGCACCGGCUAACUAUGUGCCAGCAGCCGCGG
rnacentral:rRNA from 1 species